GGGCAUGUGGUUUAGUGGUAUAACAUUCGCUUAGCAUUUAAUAUUUGCGAAAGGCCUGUCGUUCAGUCCGCUGCUUGUCUA
rnacentral:tRNA from 1 species